CAAAAGAGGGCUUUCCUCCAUUUCUAUGGAAGUUCAAAACUCUCUUCCAAGCGCAGCUUUUUCUCUGUAUUAUGAGCUUCUACACAGCGGCCGAGGUGAGAGAAACCACUAGGGAGAUGAAUGAUGAAUGGAUUGGUGAGGUGUCAUACUAGAUGCGCUUUUAUGGAUUGAUUCAAUUUUCUAGGAUGGCACUUUACUUUGUAGUUAAGUUAGUACGAUGUUUGUGUCGGCUUAUUAAUAAGUUACAUAUAUAUAUAUAUAUAUAUAUAUAUAUAUAUAUAUAUAUAUAUAUAUGUUAGAAAAAUUGAGCUUCUACACAGCGGCCGAGGUGAGAGAAACCACUAGGGAGAUGAAUGAUGAAUGGAUUGGUGAGGUGUCAUACUAGAUGCGCUUUUAUGGAUUGAUUCAAUUUUCUAGGAUGGCACUUUACUUUGUAGUUAAGUUAGUACGAUGUUUG
rnacentral:lncRNA from 1 species